UAUUGGUUUUUCAAAUCAAAAAUAUGAAAAUGGCCCCCGCUUGCUUUGAUUUUUCAGUGGAAAAAGUUUGGACACCCCUGCCAUAUGGUCUCCACAUCAAAGGUCCAUUUCCCUACGAAGACCAUGCAUCCUGCCCAUCAACCAAUGGCCUCAGCAGCCAAGUUUGAUCACUCUAUGGAGGCUGUACACCCCUCCCAUCCCCACACCGCUGGCCCAUCACCAAAUGUCCACACCUAUGGUCCUUCACCCGGCGUACACAAUAGCUUGCUACCUGAAUCCACCUGAGAAUAAAAAGGCAGCUUUCCUGGCACCAGACAGGAGAGAUGCAGGCAACCCAUCUAUUGAGGACACUAUCUGUUAUCAACCACAGGCAGAAAAAUCAUGGACGCCAUGUGAUGGAAAAAAUGUGGGCAGAAAAAGAAGGAAUUGAAGAAGUCCUCUUGAAAAUAGAUCCGGUCCAAGUCAGAGUACUUCAAACUCUCUGCGACUUGGUUGGAGACAAAUACAGCGACGGCCCUCCUCAACAAUCGGGCCAGCAAGAGCUCUUUCCUGAGAGCGGCGUAUUCAUAUCAUUGUUCCGCCUUGCUGCCAUGAGACAUGCUGCAGAGCCCAAAUGUAGGCCUUUAUUUGGACCUCUUUUUUCUACGUGUCAAAAUGCUGUCCCUUUUUGACGCCCUGGAAACAAACCUGCAGGAACACCAAAGCGGAAAAAAGUGGAAGGAAUCCUUAGUAAGUUUUCCCAAACAGAGGGUGUUUUCAGGCCAAAAUUGGGUCACAAUAAUGAAAUAGAAGUUCAAUAUGAGAAAUGUUGAUCCCUUUUCGAUUACAGCAGACUGGAAGCAUAACUGAAUGUUACAUCAUUACAAUUUGUUAUCCACUCCAAACUAGCGUUAUGAUGAGCAAUAUAGUCUGAUGUCCAUCAACUUGAAGUGUGGUUGUGUGUAUUAAUGGUUUUGCGUAAAUGAAGGCUUUAAAGGGCAAUAAAAAAGCAUUAAAUGAGGCAUUUAAAAAAGGGAAUAUGAUUGUAGGACAUGGCGGACAGUCAAUAUGUCAAACGGUAAAGGAAAAUGAACUUAAGAAGGUUACAGUCGUUUCUUUUUUGAACUGCAUACAAGAGGUAUUGUAAGGUGGGAACACGACAAAAGCACUGCUUCAAUCAAGCAAAAUGAAACAUCAACUUUUCCAUUCUUUGGUCACUGUAGGCGUGUAGUCCUUAACUGUGACACCAUGUCAGGAUAAUGGAGAAGCUGAGCCGACACGGAGUCGUUUAUUUCAAUCAUCUCCACUUCAACACA